UACGAAGGGGGCUAGCGUUGCUCGGAAUCACUGGGCGUAAAGCGCACGUAGGCGGAUCGCUAAGUCAGGGGUGAAAUCCUGGAGCUCAACUCCAGAACUGCCUUUGAUACUGGCAAUCUCGAGUCCGGGAGAGGUGAGUGGAACUGCGAGUGUAGAGGUGAAAUGCGUAGAUAUCGAGAGGAACACCUGCGGCGAAGGCGGGAUUGCUGGGCUGACACUGACGCUGGAGGCGCGAAAGCCAGGGGAGCGAACGGG
rnacentral:rRNA from 1 species